GCUCGCGUGGUGCAGUCGGAAGCUCGUGGAUCUGAUACAAGGAGAAGAGUCCAAGGUCGCAGGUUCGAGCCCUGCCGUGAGCA